rnacentral:misc_RNA from 1 species
UCAGAUAUGUAGAGCUAGAAAUGUACAGUGAUGCACUGUGGCAGCAAAAGAUAUAUAUAUCUUAUUCAAUUUCAAGCUGAUGCAUUAAACCGUGGUCUGCUGUAACGCACUUGAACUAUAUCGGUUGGUUGUUAAAACAAGUGUAACUUUUCUUUCAGAUGACACACGCAAGCCACCACCCAGUAAAAUGAAACACAGACUCGGGACAUGGAAAAUGAAGGAGGAUGCAGUGACUGCAAACGAGUGAUAGAGAAUACACAUUUUACAGAGAACAAUCGCUUAAGUCUGGAUGUAGAUGUAACUGUGGUUAAUAACAAGAAGCAACAAGAAAAGAGAAAACCCAAAACUAAAGAACUUCGCAGAAAGAUUUCAGCUUUACGAAACACAACAGGUGGUGUUCUGUUUAUACAUAUCCAGCGAAUUACCAGGGAUGACAGGUCUUUGCACUUUCUGAAUGAAUACAUUGAUCCAAUAUUGGAAGCACUUCUUCAUGAAAAAGAGCAAUUUGCUAAUGUUUAUAAAAAAGAUUGGUUAAAUGAAAAUAAAAAUGAACCUAAACAUAGAAAUGCACAUGAAUUUGUGGCAUUGAAGGUUGAAGCUACAUCCAUUGUUUGCACAGCUGAUUACAACACGUCAGUGAUUACUGAUUUCAGCAUUAAGCCCACACCUCAAAGUGUGAUUCGGGAUUUACUCAACUCUGGUGACGCUCACUUUGAGGAAGGACACCUAAAUAGUAGAGCAAAUGCAUCAUGCUUUCAAGAAAGUAGAUGCUUACAAUUUAAGAAGUUGGAAACAAGACAGCUGAUUGCUUCGUACCUGUGGAAUGAUCUUAAAUUGAAGAAAUAUAUAACAUCCUUAACAAAGCUGCCUGAAGGUGGUUCAGUCAUAUUUGGGAUCGACGAACGCCUGGAAGAAGUACAAAUAACAAGAGGAAAUACAUAUAAUCGCAUGACAAUAGAUCGCACUGGCUUCGACUGGCCUUCCCCUGAUGAAUUUAGGAACUUGAAAACAAGUCUAAAAAAACUAAUCAAGGAUGUAAUUGUGAUUUCCCCCAAACCUCCGGGAGUGCAAAGAGAAUUACUAUGGAAUAUUCUUUUUUAUGGAAUACGACCAGGAAAAUUCAUAUUAGAGAUCGCAGUUGGAUACUUGAGUGGGUGUGUUUUCUAUGACUCAGGUCCAGAAUCCUAUAGCAUAACGGAACAUGGCAAUAUACAGAAACUCAGUUUUGAUACCUGGCAAGGAAAGUUCCGAAAUGGACGACGUAAGUCGGGGGACGCAGAAUGCUCAAACCUGGCCCAGCAAUGAUCCUUUCCUUCCGAUCCUGAAACAAAACGAUGAUUCCUUCAGAAGGAUUCGGGACAGUUUCAUCAAUACAGGGCUUACUGUUCGGUAUGACAAAACAUCUCUUCACCAAGAAUCAAAGGGACUUCUGAGACAUAGACUGGAAACAACAUUCAAGAAUCAAGGAGAUACGACUGGUUUAUUGUACAUGACUAACUCACUUUCAGAACUACUGAAUAUAGAUACAGUCUCUGACGCCAAGAUACCCAGUGAUCUUAUGUUUGAAGCCCUCUAUGUUUCUUCAAGUCAAGCAGUGACGCUCCUAUGUGUUGUCAAACACAAACAUGAAAACGAGGGGGAGAAGCUAAAGUACAUCCUGCAACUGACGAGGAAGGUUACAAUGAGGAUUCGACAGUUUACAGAUGAACAUAUCAGCUGCAUGUACGGACUUCUUGACGAUGAUGAUCUUGCCAGUGUAGACACGUUUCAUAGAGAUUUGAUGUCCAUGGAGAAGAAGGCCCGCGCAUACAAUAACCUCUUCUCUUUGAAAAUGACCCAAGACAAAUGCGAGAACAUGCUCAAUGCCUUCAUCAUUGCUGUUGGUACAAGACCGCUGGUCCCUGGUGAGAAGGAUGAUGUAGAACUAUGGCUCCACACAGAGGAACAGUUUUAUGAGCGUAUUGAAACUAUUGAACGAAUGCAGGAUCGCUCUGAGGAGAAAAGCAUUGAGCUGGAACAUCUCGGGUGUCAAGUCUCUUCGCAAAUAACUCUAGACAAAUGUGAGAAAGCAUCCAAUGCAACCAACGUUGCAUUUGGUACAAGACAACCGGUCCCUGGUGGGAAAGACGAUGAGAAACUGUGGAUCCCCCAAACCAUUAAAGGAAUGCAGGAUCGUAGUGAAGAAGAAAUCAUCCAGCAAAAGAAAUCCUGCCAGCAAUUGUCAAGAACGUUCAUGACAGGAGACACUAAUGUUGGGGACAUUGCAGGCAAUAUGAAACCGAGACUUUCACAGCGGGAAGAAAACAGAGGAAGAAAAUAUCCUCGCAGUGAAGUGGAAAUGGUGAAUGCUCUUCGGGAGGAAACUUCACGUAAACUGCAACAAGUCCGUGAUGUCAACUUCCAGAUUCAAGAAUACGUUCCCGUUCUGAAGGCACACACCUCACUACAGACAGCUCCACUGGACAUCGUGAAGGUGGAGACUACAUACAGUGCUACUCAACGGAUGUGACAAGAGUCAAAGAAAACGAACUCCCGAAGUCAAAGGCUCCAGGGUCAAGAUCUACACAAGGCCGAACAUCACGGAUCCUAGAUAGUAUAUGUAUACAGGUGUAUUAAUGUAUUUUUCAACUCGUAUUGAUCUUUCAACUUUCCAUUGAGUCUGAGAAAACAAACUUGGUAUUGGGUAUCUUCUGGAAAAGAAAUACGGAAUAUAUUUUUUAUCAAAAUGAAUGUAAGAAAAUAAAAAUUAGCUGUUUCAGCCUUUGUUUCGCAACGUUUGUGCAAUGCCGACAAACAGGACAUGUUUUCGUCUCGAUCCCUUCACAUCACAUUGUGUCAUCUGAUGACACAUCAAAACCGUCUUGCAGAGUGCAACGAGCGGGAAACGAACCACGAGCCAAAACAAGUGUUUUUAAUUGUGAUUGGUCAGUUGGGACUGUCUGACUCAGAAUUAUGCCUGGGGCUUUAACAAUAUAAUUAUGUCUCAGGACGUUUCUGUGAGUUUGUGUUAACACAGUAUAUCUGGAAUAUAUUGAGGGAGACGUGUGCCAAUAACAUUCCUGUACAAAUAUAGUCUCUUUUGGUUGUAUGAGACAUAGUUACUAUCGUUAUGUAUUUAGUCGUGUGGCAAAAUUAAUCUUUCGCUCGCGAGUCGUAGCACCUUAUGUGACAAGGCCACUCCAGUCCCGGUGGAUGAACAAAUAAUUUAAAGUAUCAGAUUGAUUUACGGAUGAUAAAUUGAAAUUCAAUUAACAUCAGUACACAUAAACCCGAUGUGUUUUUUUGGCAGAAUAUCCUCAUUUUAUAUAUUGUAUAAAACAAUUCGUGCAGGACUUUUUGAACUUCACAUUCACAAGUAAGGUCCUGAAUCAAGUAAUCAUAGUGUCCUGUGUGUUUAAUAUACGUAUUACAAUCUUCUAAUGUUAGUUGAUACAGUUGUCUUGGAACAUGAAUAUUUUACUUUUGAUCUCUUUAUAUAAAUCCGUCUGAUGUUUGUUCAUACAAUUGUCAAGGUACAUGCGUGCUUUAGUUUUGAUCUUUUUAUUAAAUCAGUCUGAUGUUACUUCAUACAGUUGUCUAGGUACAUGUGUGUUUUAGUUUUUAUGUCAUCACUUCAUCCUUCUGAUGUUAGUUCAUACAGUUGUCUAGGUACAUGUGUGUUUUAGUUUUUAUGUCAUCACUUUAUCCUUCUGAUGUUAGUUCAUACAGUUGUCUGGGUACAUGUGUGUUUUAUUUUUUAUGUCAUCACUUCAUCCUUCUGAUGUUAGUUCAUACAGUUGUCAAGGUACAUGCAUGUUUUAGUUUUUAUGCCAUCACUUCAUCCUUCUGAUGUUAGUUCAUACAGUUGUCAUGUGUGAAGCCCAUUUGUGGUGUCCCCCGCCGUGAUAUUGAUGGAAUUAUGCUAAAGGCGGCGUAAAAACAUACUCACUCACUCACUCACUCAUUCACUUACUCAUACAGUUGUCUAGGUACAUGCGUGUUUUAGUUUUUAUGUCAUCACUUCAUUCUUCUGAUGUUAGUUCAUACAGUUGUCAUGUGUGAAGCCCAUUUGUGGUGUCCCCCGCCGUAAAAUUGAUGGAAUAUUGCUAAAGGUGGCGUAAAAAACAUACCCACUCACUCACUCACUCAUUCACUUACUCAUACAGUUGUCAAGGUACAUGCGUGUUUUAGUUUUUAUGUCAUCACUUCAUCCUUCUGAUGUUAGUUCAUACAGUUGUCUAGGUGCAUGCGUGUUUUAGUUUUUAUGCCAUCACUUUAUCCUUCUGAUGUUAGUUCAUACAGUUGUCUAGGUACAUGCAUGUUUUAGUUUUUAUGUCAUCACUUGAUCCUUCUGAUGUAAGUUCAUACAGUUGUCUGGGUACAUGCGUGUUUUAGUUUUUAUGUCAUCACUUGAUCCUUCUGAUGUUAGUUCAUACAGUUGACAAGGUACAUGCGUGUUUUCGUUUUUAUGCCAUCACUUCAUCCUUCUGAUGUUAGUUCACACAGUUGUCUUGGUAAAUAAAUGUUUUACUUUUCUGUGUGUUUUUUGUGGAAUCUGUGAUAUUCACCUUUCUGUCUUCCUGAAUGUUUACUCAUUGGUUUCCUGAACUGUUAGUAAAUAUAUAUCUUGACAUCCGCAGGGCGUCCGCAGCAAAUUAACAAGACGAUUUAUGAUAUUAUUUCGUGAGUGUAUGAAGCGUACAUAAAAUCAACCUGCUAAGAGUUAAUGUUUUGAAGUCUUCACCAAAUUUUAUUCUGCUUUAAUGAGCCUCAAGAUUAAUGAGAUGUAUUUCAAGUACACCAUACUGACAAAAUGUGUUGUGCACAUUGAUACAAGUAAAUCUAACCGGCAUGAGGACAGCGUAUUAGAGUUGACAAAGGAAGGUGGAGUUUGAAAUCAAUUCCCAACACACAGAGUUACUUCCCUUCAACUAAACCAGAAACAAAC